rnacentral:rRNA from 1 species
CGGAUUAGCCCAAACCAAUAAAGUUUUCUUUAUUGGGGUUGCGGACAUAUCAUAACGAAGAGGUAUCGUAAUUGAAGAGGUUUGGAAAGACCCACCACAGAAGGUAAUAGUCCUGUAUGUUAAACGAGAAGACUUCAGAUAUGAUCCAGAGUACCACGGGACACGUGAAACCCUGUGGGAAGCAGGAGGGACCACCCUCCAAGGCUAAAUACUACCUAGUGACCGAUAGCGUAUAGUACCGGGAGGGAAAGGUGAAAAGAACCCCGGGAGGGGAGUGAAAUAGAACCUGAAACCCUGCACUUACAAGCUGUGGAAGCACAUUUCUUGUGUGACCGCGUACUUUUUGUAGAACGGGCCAACGAGUUACGUUAAGUAGCAAGGUUAAGCACUUAAGGUGCGGAGCCGUAGCGAAAGCGAGUUUUAACUGAGCGUUCAGUUACUUGACGUAGACCCGAAACCGGGCGA